GACGAGGGGUCCUAGCGUUGUUCGGAAUCAUUGGGCGUAAAGCGUGUGUAGGCUGCCAUUCAAGUCAGUUGUGAAAUCCCCGGGCUUAACCCGGGAAGUGCUUCUGAUACUGUUUGGCUUGAGUACUGGAGAGGAUAGUAGAAUUCCUGGUGUAGUGGUGAAAUACGUAGAUAUCAGGAGGAAUACCGGUGGCGAAGGCGGCUAUCUGGCCAUGUACUGACGCUGAGACACGAAAGCGUGGGUAGCAAACAGG
rnacentral:rRNA from 1 species